GAAGAGCUGGGUUCCGCGGCUGCAGGCUUGCCAGGCCCUGCCCCGUCCUCCCUGGGCUGCAUGCCACGGCAGGCCGCCCGGGUGCCCUGAGCCGGGACCUCGCCUGUGAAGGGGCCACCGUUGGCAGGUCAGGCAGAUGGAGAACAUGAUGUGUAAGGUGAAGUGACGGGGCCAAGGUGGCAGAGUAGAGCGGGGCCUGGAGCUGGGUCCUCUCUCCCGCAUCCAUCCCACGGCCUCUACUCUGGCCACACGGAAGGGGGCUUCAGGGUCUGAGUCUGCAGGACCUAGUUUUGGCUGAGAUGUAUCCUCGGAGAACGAACCCCUCCUGAAGUCGCAUGCAGCCGUCUGUUUCAUGAUCCUGUCUCUCUGGCUUCAGAGCCUCAGAUGAUGGUUUACUGUGCCUUGUCCACUUCCGAGAGCUGCACCCAGGCUGACCUUACCCACCGGAAGCGCUUGGUAAAUCCUGUGGAAGGAGUCGGUGGAUUCAACGCCAGGUUCACGAAGCUUGCCAUGGGUUAAAGAGGUGCAGGGUGGGGAAGCCCAGCUGGGCGGUGGACCCUGAGGAUCUGCCAGGAAGACGUCCAGACACAGAAGGAGGAAGGCCUCCGUACUUCAUGUGAUCCGUCCCCCUGACAGCGGAGCGUUGCAGCUUCUGGAGUCCCAGACGCAGCUCAUCCUGAGGGCGCCUCGAGGAUCUCGUAAGAUGGAGCCUGAUGCAGGACUCGAUCCCGGGACUCCAGGAUUACGACCCGAGCCAAAGGCAGUCGCCCAAACGGCGCUGCCCAGGAGCCCCUACAUGUAUCUUUCAACAUUGAUAUUCUCUGUAUAUCUAUCCCUGGAAUAUUGUCCUUUCUUCCUCCUUUUUUUCUGGUUUUAGACAUAAAAAAGUCUGUUACACACACACCCACACAC